UACGUAGGGACCGAGCGUUGUCCGGAUUCAUUGGGCGUAAAGAGCUCGUAGGCGGCUGCUCAAGUCGAAUGUGAAACCUCGAGGCUUAACCUCGAGCCUGCAUUCGAUACUGGGCGGCUAGAGUCUGGUAGGGGGAUCUGGAAUUCCUGGUGUAGCGGUGGAAUGCGCAGAUAUCAGGAGGAACACCGGUGGCGAAGGCGGGAUCCUGGGCCAGUACUGACGCUGAGACGCGAAAGCGUGGGGAGCGAACAGG
rnacentral:rRNA from 1 species